rnacentral:ncRNA from 1 species
AAAAAAGCAAAUAAGAGCGAACGGUGGAUGCCUAGGCUCUGGGAGGCGAAGAAGGACGUGAUAAGCUGCGAAAAGCUGCGGGUAGGUGCAAAUAACCCUUGAUCCGCGGAUAUCCGAAUGGGGCAACCCGGCACAGUGAAGCUGUGUCAUCCUGCAUAGCGGGAAGCAAACGAGGGGAACUGAAACAUCUAAUUACCCUUAGGAGAAGAAAACAAAAGUGAUUGCGCGAGUAGUGGCGAGCGAAAGCGCAGAAGCCCAAACCCAUGAUGUAGCAAUGCAUUAUGGGGGUUGUAGGACUGCGAUAUAGAAGAAGUAAAUGAAUUGGAAGAGCGUUGGAAAGCGCCCCCGCAGACGGUGACAGGCCGGUACAGGUAAGUUUACCAUUUUUAGCAGUAUCCUGAGUAGCGCGGGACACGAGAAAUCCUGUGUGAAACUGGCGGGACCAUCCGCUAAGGCUAAAUACUCCCCAGAGACCGAUAGUGAACCAGUACCGUGAGGGAAAGGUGAAAAGCACCUCGAACAGAGGAGUGAAACAGACCCUGAACCCGUUCGCUUACAAGCGGUCGGAGCAGCUACGUGCUGUGACGGCGUGCCUUUUGCAUAAUGAACCUACGAGUUACUUUCACUGGCGAGGUUAAGGUCUUCAGGACCGUGAGCCGAAGCGAAAGCGAGUCUUAACAGGGCGCCAUAGUCAGUGUGAGUAGACGCGAAACCAAGUGAUCUACCCUUGAGCAGGUUGAAGUUUGGGUAACACCAAAUGGAGGAC